UCCAAGUACCCAGUUUCUUUUGGUCUCUGC
rnacentral:piRNA from 1 species